GAUGAACGCUGGCGGCGUGCCUAAUACAUGCAAGUCGAGCGAACAGACGAGGAGCUUGCUCCUCUGACGUUAGCGGCGGACGGGUGAGUAACACGUGGAUAACCUACCUAUAAGACUGGGAUAACUUCGGGAAACCGGGGCUAAUACCGGAUAAUAUAUUGAACCGCAUGGUUCAAUAGUGAAAGACGGUUUUGCUGUCACUUAUAGAUGGAUCCGCGCCGCAUUAGCUAGUUGGUAAGGUAACGGCUUACCAAGGCAACGAUGCGUAGCCGACCUGAGAGGGUGAUCGGCCACACUGGAACUGAGACACGGUCCAGACUCCUACGGGAGGCAGCAGUAGGGAAUCUUCCGCAAUGGGCGAAAGCUUGACGGAGCAACGCCGCGUGAGUGAUGAAGGUCUUCGGAUCGUAAAACUCUGUUAUUAGGGAAGAACAAAUGUGUAAGUAGCUAUGCACGUCUUGACGGUACCUAAUCAGAAAGCCACGGCUAACUACGUG
rnacentral:rRNA from 1 species